UACGUAGGGUGCAAGCGUUAAUCGGAAUUACUGGGCGUAAAGCGUGCGCAGGCGGUUUUGUAAGUCUGUCGGGAAAUCCCCGGGCUUAACCUGGGAAUGGCGAUGGAGACUGCAAGGCUAGAGUUUGGCAGAGGGGGGUAGAAUUCCACGUGUGGCAGUGAAAUGCGUAGAGAUGUGGAGGAACACCGAUGGCGAAGGCAGCCCCCUGGGUCAAAACUGACGCUCAUGCACGAAAGCGUGGGGAGCAAACAGG
rnacentral:rRNA from 1 species